UACGUAGGGGGCCAGCGUUGUUCGGAAUUACUGGGUGUAAAGGGUUCGUAGGCGGUGUGGCAAGUUGGGAGUGAAAUCUCUGGGCUCAACCCAGAGACGGCUUCCAAAACUGCCGUGCUUGGGUGUGGGAGAGGCUCGUGGAAUUGCAGGUGUAGCGGUGAAAUGCGUAGAUAUCUGCAGGAACACCCGUGGCGAAAGCGGCGAGCUGGACCACUACUGACGCUGAAGAACGAAAGCUAGGGGAGCAAACAGG
rnacentral:rRNA from 1 species